rnacentral:rRNA from 1 species
GUUUAUGGCCAUAUCACCGUGAACACAUCCAAUCUCGUAAGCUAAGCAGAGUUGGGCCUGGUUUGUACUUGGAUGGGAGAAGGAACGGACCAGCUGGGAACUAAGAAUGUGGCCAGUACACU